CCUACGGGUGGCAGCAGUGAGGAAUAUUGGUCAAUGGACGAGAGGCUGAACCAGCCAAGUAGCGUGAAGGAUGACUGCCCUAUGGGUUGUAAACUUCUUUUAUAUGGGAAUAAAAUGUUCCACGUGUGGGAUUUUGGAUGUACCAUAUGAAUAAGAAUCGGCUAACUCCGUGCCAGCAGCCGCGGUAAUACGGAGGAUCCGAGCGUUAUCCGGAUUUAUUGGGUUUAAAGGGAGCGUAGGUGGAUUGUUAAGUCAGUUGUGAAAGUUUGCGGCUCAACCGUAAAAUUGCAGUUGAUACUGGCAGUCGUGAGUACAGUAGCGGUGGGCGGAAUUCGUGGUGUAGCGGUGAAAUGCUUAGAUAUCACGAAGAACUCCGAUUGCGAAGGCAGCUCACUGGACUGCAACUGACACUGAGGCUCGAAAGUGUGGGUAUCAAACAGGAUUAGAUACCCGGGUAGUC
rnacentral:rRNA from 1 species